GAGGGCGUAGCUUAAUGGUAGAGCACAUGCUUAGCAUGCACGAAGUCCUGGGUUCAAUCCCCAGUACCUCCG
rnacentral:tRNA from 1 species